rnacentral:rRNA from 1 species
UACGGAGGAUCCGAGCGUUAUCCGGAUUUAUUGGGUUUAAAGGGAGCGUAGGUGGAUUGUUAAGUCAGUUGUGAAAGUUUGCGGCUCAACCGUAAAAUUGCAGUUGAAACUGGCAGUCUUGAGUACAGUAGAGGUGGGCGGAAUUCGUGGUGUAGCGGUGGAAUGCGCAGAUAUCGGGAAGAACACCGGUGGCGAAGGCGGCCUUCUGGGCCAUCACUGACGCUGAGGCGCGAAAGCUAGGGGAGCAAACAGG